AAAACAGUUUCGAGGUAGUGACGAGAAAUAACAAUACACAAUACAGGGCAUUUUAUGCUUUGUAAUUGGAAUGAUGGGAAUGUAAAACCCUUCCAGAGUAACAAUUGGAGGGCAAGUCUGGUGCCAGCAGCCGCGGUAAUUCCAGCUCCAAUAGUGUAUAUUAGAGUUGUUGCAGUUAAAAAGCUCGUAGUUGGAUUUCUGUCGCGGUCAGUCGGCGGCGCCCGUAUGGGUGUGCGUGAGGCUUGCCCGCGGCUUCCUUCCAGUAGCCUUCCGCGCUUCGCUGCGUGUGUUGGUGUUCUGGAACUUUUACUUUGAGAAAAAUAGAGUGUUUCAAGCAGGCUUGUCGCCCUGAAUACUGCAGCAUGGAAUAAUAAGAUAGGACCUCGGUUCUAUUUUGUUGGUUUCUGGGACCAAGGUAAUGAUUAAUAGGGACAGUUGGGGGCAUUCGUAUUUAACUGUCAGAGGUGAAAUUCUUAGAUUUGUUAAAGACGAACUACUGCGAAAGCAUUUGCCAAGGAUGUUUUCAUUAAUCAAGAACGACAGUAGGGGGUUUGAAGACGA
rnacentral:rRNA from 1 species